UGGGCCAGUGCUUAUCCUACUUGGAUAACUGUGGUAAUUCCAGAGCUAAUAUAUGCAACUCAUACCCCGACGACCACUCUCUUGUAGGGUGCGUUGAACGGGUGCUUUUAUUAGACCAAACCGCUGAGGGCGUGUUCUCCGUUUCCGCGGUGCACGCCUGACUCGUUUAAUGGUGACUCUGGAUAACCUUUGACAAGCGCACGUACUCCUCUUUUGAGCGGGACGGCGCUGCCACUUUCGAGUGUCUGCCUUAUCAGCUAUCAACCGUUCGUUAUGUGCGACCGAUGGCUUUGACGGGUAACGGGGAAUCAGGGUUCGAUUCCGGAGAGGCAGCCUGAGAGACGGCUACCACGUCCAAGGACGGCAGCAGGCGCGCAAAUUACCCAAUCCCAGCCUCUGGGGGAGGUAGUGACGAAAUCUAACGAUGCGGGCGCCCUUUCUAGGGCCCCGCAAUCGGAAUG
rnacentral:rRNA from 1 species